rnacentral:tRNA from 1 species
CGAGGGAACAGCUCAAUGGCAGAGCACAUGCUUAGCAGGCAUGAGGUCCUGGGUUCAAUUCCCAGUCCCUCCA